AAUGCAUUUUAUGAUGGUUGACUUUGCGAGAACUAACGGAGCAUUAGUGUCAAAGUACUGGAAAGAGGUUGGGCGUCGAUCUUACGAUUUUAGCCUGGGGGUAACAAGAGCAGAACAUGGAAGCUGUGGAGGAGCCCGUCAGCCGGGUGUUCGUCUUCUUCGACGAGUUCAUCUUCUAAGGCGAUGAAAGGCGUGGGACGGUUGUCGACUUCGGAUGCGUCACGUUCGGAUGAGGUUUCGUUUUCGGCUGCUGUGGCUACUGUGGUUAGAGUUCCGCCUAAAGAUUUCUUGUUUGUUAGGCAAGAAUGGGCUGCGAUUCGAAUUCAGUCGGUUUUUCGCUCUUUUUUGACAAAAAUGGAUGCCAAAAUAACUGGUUGUUCCGGUGGGCCCACAGCAGGGAAGUACAAUCUACAGCUGAAAAAGCAACAUUUUACUACUGUGUGAAAGACAGCUUGCUUGCUGCAGUCUCUAUAAUGUAUCAACACUCUACAAACACUGUUUGAAAGACAGCAUGCUUGCUUCAGUCUCUAUAAAUAAUUCAGAUGUAUCAACACUCUACAAACACUUUACAAACCCUCAACUACACUCAACUGAAAUUAAUAUAUCGACUCUUUGCAUCUGGAUCUUGCGUUGUUUCUCGGCUCUCACAUCAAGGUUUUAAAUUUUUUGUCGGCUUUUCACAUCUCCCUCUUGCAUUGUUGUAAGUUCUUUCAAAUUUCUUGGUUUUUUUGUAACUUUUAACUGUAGCUUUUAACUUUAGAAGGUUGUAAAUGUUGAAAUAACUGGGGUUUUUGGAUC